UAUUGUGGUGGGAAUAUGAAAUAAAGUGGAAGAAAAGGCCGUGGGCUGAUUUGCUGGUGCUUGGGGUUGGGGAAGGGAGGGUAAUGGUGUGCUGAACCCCAGGAGCUCUCCUGGCCCCGCCCCCCCUCCUCAGCUUGAAAUCCAGCACAGAUUUGUGCCCAGUGGAUUUGGGUGAUGUUUUUAGUAGGAAAGUGGAGUUGUAGAAUUGGGUGUGGGGAUGUGCAAAGAUCACAAAAGACUCAAAAAUCAAAUUUCAAAGAUUAGAGAAAUAUUCUUUUUGGGCCACCUGUGGUCGUCUGUUUAUACUCUAGGGAGUGCAGUCAACAACACUUUGAGUUUGGGUUUUACAGGGAAAGUGGUCCCAAAAUAAACAACUGUAAGGGGUGGGGAAAGGAGGGGCAGGGUCCAGAACUGCUGUUGUGUGGUGUCUGCCUGCCCCCUGCUGGGGAGCUGAGACAUGCGCAUCUCAGAAGGAUGGGGGGCACUGGCUUCCUGGCUAAGGUUUCUCCCAGAACAAUAGGGACUGACCCUAUUGUGUGGGAAGGAUAGCAGAUGGUACCAGAGAAGGAAACAUCCAUGCACCCUUGAAAGGCACGCAGGACAAAGGUAGACUGCUGGAUUGGGGCCCAGGUAUUGCCCCUGUCUGGGCUACUGCUCCCACAUUCAGGAACCAGACCUGGUGGGUGAGGACAUGUCCCUCCUGCCAAGUUAAUAGCUUCCUCCUCCAGUCAGGAAUAUAGCUCUGUACCUGCGGUAGCUCCUGCUCAGACUGCCUGUCAAAACUAGCCUGCAGUUCAGGCUUAAGGAGCAUGGUCACAGGAAGGUGGGGUUUCAGAGCACCCCUGAGGGGCUUCCCCUCUCCCCAGAAUUCCAUGAUGAAGGCCUAUAUGUUUGUAGGUGUGCUGGUCAUGAUGGGCUUCACAGUGGGAAAGAGUAAGUGGGACACGGGGGCAGGGAAGGAGGGGUGACUGAGUCCAGGGAGGGGAUGGCUCUGGAUGAGCGGGCUCCCUGCAGGGCAGGGAACUUGGAGUGAGCCAACACGGCCAUUUCUCCUGUCUUCCACUUCCCCAGCUCUUGUUGCUGAAGUCCGGACCUGCCACCUCUGCCUCUUAGAAGAUCCUACUAUAGGAUGCGUUUUAGGCUCAGAGAAGUGCACGAUCAGCAGCUCAUCCCCAUGUAUGGGGAUCAGCAUCUUUCAUAAUACCAAGGUUCGCUUCUUAAUCCGGGGCUGUGGACAGCACAAGUCUUACCGGUGCCAAGAAAAACACCCCACCUACCUCCCAGAGUACUGGUACUACGCCCAGUGCUGCCAGUAUGAUUACUGCAACUCCUGGUACAGCCCCCAGCUCCAGAGCUCCCUCCCUGAGGCCCCUGAGGGGUCCCUGGCCCUGCCCCUGUCUGAGUCCCAGAUCCAGUGGUUCUGCCAAGCCCUGAACCUCUCACUGCCCCUACCCAGCUUCCAUGCUGAGAAGGAGCCUUCUGAAGGCCUGGACCCCCUGGCUGUCCUGCCCCUGAAUCUGAGUUUGUCCAUUGCUGACCUGCGCCGCAUAUACUGGUUCCUCAACAAUUCAGGACUUUUGGUUCUUCCCUGGGCUAGGCUGUGACGUCUUACCCUUCCCAGAUUUCACUCUGGUCCAGCGUCUCUCCCCUGACACCCCAGCAUCAUGUACUGCCCUCUCAGAACACUCACACUUUCUGGUCUGUGAGUUCUCAGUCUUCCUUUCCUUUGUACUUCCAUCGUCUAUAUGGUUUUGGUUUAGUUUCCUCCCCAAAAAGCAGUUGGCACUGCACCCAGUGCCCUUCGUCCACCUAGAAAAUAAUCUCAAAUGUGAAUUCUGCCUAGGCUGACCUGGGAAAGGCACAGUGGUUUCCUCAUCCCUUUCCUAUCAUCUGAGUGGGAUCAUCCCCCCCCCCCCCCCAUCUUCCUGAUCCCCUCUCAAUGGCUAUUUCCACCCCUACACUUGUCUCUAAAACCUUGUGCCAGACUGACCUUGCAUCAAGACGGGUGAGAGGCGGACUUUGUGCAGAUUUCCUGACUGGGCACUCUGGUGUUCCUACCUCACUGUCUCCACCACCCUCACUCCCGCCUGGUCUCCUGCUUCCUUUUCUCAUCUCUUGUCCCCAUCUUUGACUUCCACAGCCCCACUUCACGUCCCUGAGUCCUGACACCCACUUGCACAGAAUCCCAGGGAGAGGAGAAGAUCUGUCCUCUGCUCCAGAUUCUCCAGUUUCCCUCCACAAUAAACAAACUGGGCUAAGUCUGUGUCACAUUGUUUAUGGGGUCAGGCUCAGGUGUGGGCAGGUGUAAACAGGUUAAAGAAAGUUAACUGGGUGUGGGGUUCAAACAGGGUUGCAGAGCCCUGCCCACUCCACUUGGCCUUUGUGGUUCCUCAUGGCCUGCCGCAAAGAGCCCACAUCCAUCCCACCCUCUGCUCAGCUAGAGAUCAAAGUAUGAGGAUUGUGACUCCUGCCAGCCUUAAACAUACCCUACAAAACCUAGAAAGUUAAACCCGGGUGAUGUCAGGUUUUUCCACAUAAGAAAGGAGGAAAUACUCAACCAUGAAAACUCAAGAGCAAACCAGAGGGCCCAGGUCUGCAUCUCAGAGUUAACCUGGAGCUGAGGCACCUGCGUUCCUGCCUAUUCUCAGUUCUUUUCAGGAUCCUGGGAGCCAGGACCCCCUCUGUGAGGGCCUAGGUGGAGGGGGUGGGAGAGUACAGAGAGCACACAGGUGGGGCUGCAGUGGUAGGGUCUUUCAUUUUGAAAAACCGCAAGCAUGCAGAAAGCAACCUUCCCCAUACAUUCAAUAAACACUGGACACACUGCUCUGAGCCAGGCCCAGUAUUAAGCAGCAAGACUUGCAGAUGAGUACAGCCAGGUGUCCACCCUUCUGAAUCUCACAACCCAGUGCUGGGAUUAUGAAACUUUUUUCUGAAAAGUAGUGCAGCUCUGUGGCUGGGAGGCCCAAUCCCAGCUCCUCUGCCACUUAAGUAAGUUGGUCUCUGUGCCGAAUUUUGGUCACCUGUCAAGUAGGGAUAGUGCCUCAGGAUUGAGAGAAUGUGUGUCAACGUGUGCACAGAGAUAGAAGUUAAUGGACUCAAAAAUAGACACGCCUUAGAGGCAAACAUGCACACAGAUUUUGGUCUAUUUAGUUUUAAACCUUUUUGGCCAUACAGAUGUUUGCGCACCAUAAGGUGGGUUUUUGUAAACUACACACCUGUGUUACCACUCCCUGAGUUAGCAUAAAGGCUUUUAUCAGCACCCAAAGCUGCCUUCAUGCACCCUCCUAGACCCUCCUAAAAUUCAGGGGUAGCCACUGUCCUGAAUUUUGUCUGUGUGCUUGAUAGAAACGACAUCACAGCAUACACGCUUCCUACACAACAUUUUGCAUGUAUGUUAAUAGAUUUUUGUGGCCCCUUUAAUGGCUUGUGCUCUGGUGGGAGAAACCAUUUGUUUCUAGGUCAGGAAGCAGUUGGAGGUACAAAGAGAGGUACAAGCCACUGUGUCCCUCUCUUGCCGCCCCACUUUACCCCAUGACCUCUGACUUCAGCAUAAGUCAAGGGCCCAGGUUUACACAGCUCCAGCAAGUCAAACUGGAAGACAGCCUCAGAGGAUGAGAAACCCAAGGCCCGAAACUGAGGAGUAACUUAACCAUGGUCCUUGAAAAGGGAAGUUGAGCCUGGGGUCAGAGAGGCCACUAGGCCUUGCAUCUCUUCACAGAGCUCCUUCCCCACCCUCUCCUCCCUGGGACUGGUUCUCUUACAGCUCCACUCCUACCAACACACCCCCAUGAACCUCCCUACCAGUCCCCAUCCAGCUCUGGGUCUGACAGCACUUCUAAGGAUGUCCACCACCCUUCUGGUCUUCAACAUAGGAGGGCUUGCAGUUCCUCUUCACCUCUUUGUGCUGAGAGCUGAAUCAGAGACAGUGGGGCAGGGCAGGAGCAGAGCUCCGCAGAGCUGGGAGCCACUUACCUGCCCCUGACGGGGCACUCAGGCAGUACCACCUCCCUCAGCCUCCACGUCCACCAGAAGAGAGAGACAAAUCAAAGAGUUCGCACACCUGUUUAUUUUGGAGGAACAGCUGGGGACUUUGGACAAGAGAGGACCAUGGUGGGAAAAGAGGCAAAGCAGGGCAAAGGGGCAUCCUUGAGGUGGGAACAGACAGGAGGAAAGAUGUCAGACUGAGGCCUUGAAGGAAAACUCCAGAGAAUUCUGGAGAGGGAGCCUAGGGAAGGGGCAGAGUGGGAAUAGGGCUGUUGAGGGGCGUCAACCAAGAGACAGAUAGGACCGGGGUCCAGUAGCUGCUGCUGAGGGCGGCAGGGAGGGCUGGUGGGUGGGGAUGGACAUUGUUCUGGCUGCCCCCAGGUAGAAAUCAGGAGGAUGGCUGGAAAUUGGCCGGUUUUUACUCCAGAGGUCUCUAUGGAAGUUCUAAGGACCAUAUUUUAUUCUGUUCUGAGGGUUAUUGCAGAAAUUCCGGAAGCAGCAUCGAGAGAAUAUCUAGAAGCCCAGCACUGGAGGAGUGUGGGUGUACGAGCGAUCACUCAUCUGCUCCUUGCUGCGGCAGUCACUCACAACGAUCUCCGAACCACUGUCUGGGGAGGGACGGCAGCAAUCAGCGACACAGAGUUCCCAGGGAACAUGGGUUCGAUCCCUGGUCCAGGAAGAUUCCACAUGCCGUG